GUGGGGAAUUUUGGACAAUGGGCGCAAGCCUGAUCCAGCAAUGCCGCGUGCAGGAAGAAGGCCUUCGGGUUGUAAACUGCUUUUGUACGGAACGAAACGGUCCUGGCUAAUAUCCGGGGCUAAUGACGGUACCGUAAGAAUAAGCACCGGCUAACUACGUGCCAGCAGCCGCGGUAAUACGUAGGGUGCGAGCGUUAAUCGGAAUUACUGGGCGUAAAGCGUGCGCAGGCGGUGCUGUAAGACAGGCGUGAAAUCCCCGGGCUCAACCUGGGAAUUGCGCUUGUGACUGCAGUGCUGGAGUGCGGAAGAGGGGGAUGGAAUUCCGCGUGUAGCAGUGAAAUGCGUAGAUAUGCGGAGGAACACCGAUGGCGAAGGCAAUCCCCUGGGCCUGCACUGACGCUCAUGCACGAAAGCGUGGGGAGCAAACAGGAUUAGAUACCCCGGUAGUCC
rnacentral:rRNA from 1 species